UACGUAGGGACCAAGCGUUGUUCGGAUUUACUGGGCGUAAAGGGCGCGUAGGCGGCAAUUCAAGUCAUCUGUGAAAUCUCCGGGCUUAACUCGGAACGGUCAGAUGAUACUGCUUUGCUAGAGUGCGGAAGGGGCAAUCGGAAUUCCUGGUGUAGCGGUGAAAUGCGCAGAUAUCAGGAGGAACACCGGUGGCGAAGGCGGAUCUCUGGGCCGAUACUGACGCUGAGGAGCGAAAGCGUGGGGAGCGAACAGG
rnacentral:rRNA from 1 species